GAGCAGCUGCAGCUACUACCUAUCACCCUGUAAGCAACAGAUGAAAAAAAACAAGAUUUACAUGGAAGCGUUGAGCUGCCCAAAGUUAAACUCUGUUGCAGAUCUUGUUUUCAGCCGAGAGGACCAGAUGCAGAGGUGUCUAUUGAAAAGAAUAAAACAAUGAUGAGAGGGAAACAGAGGUGGCAGAUGGCAAGAAAAGCUCUUCUGUGCACUAGUCGCCAUCACCAGGUGUUCCUCAGGCCCAAACAGAUCCCUAAACUUCCUGCUACAUUAAGGAGAACACCAUCUCAGUGUCUGCCCGUGUAAUAGGUGGUUAAUAAAUACAAACUUAAUCUGAAUCUUGAGAGGGAGGAAUCAUAACUACAUCUGUUUUACCUUUAAAUCUUUACAAGUCAAAUCGAGCUAAGGUGUAAAAGUAAAUAUGGACUUCCCUGGUGCUUCAGAGGUUAAUAAUCAUCUUGACAAUGCAGGGGACAUGGUUUUGGUCCCUGGUCUGGGAAGAUUCCACACACUGUGGGGCAUGAAACCUGCAAGCCACAACUGCUGAAGGCUGUGCAUACUAGAGCCUGCGCCCAGCAACAAGAGAAGCCACUGCAAUGCAAAGCCCACACACCGCAACCAGAGAGUAGCCCCCCUCCCUUGCUCCAACUACAGAAAACCCACGUGCAGCAACAAAGACCCAGCACAGCCA
ensembl:lncRNA